GACGAACGCUGGCGGCGUGCUUAACACAUGCAAGUCGAACGGAAAGGCCCUGCUUUUGUGGGGUGCUCGAGUGGCGAACGGGUGAGUAACACGUGAGUAACCUGCCCUUGACUUUGGGAUAACUUCAGGAAACUGGGGCUAAUACCGGAUAUGAGCUCCUGCUGCAUGGUGGGGGUUGGAAAGUUUCGGCGGUUGGGGUUGGACUCGCGGCUUAUCAGUUUGUUGGUGGGGUAGUGGCUUACCAAGGCAUUGACGGGUAGCCGGCCUGAGAGGGUGACCGGCCACAGUGGGGCUGAGUACGGGCCGAGACUGCUACGGGUAGCAGCCGUGGGGAAUAAUGCACAAGGGGCGGAAGCCUGAUGCAGCAACGCCGCGUGGGGGAUGACGGCCUUCGGGUUGUAAACCGCUUUCGCCUGUGACGAAGCGUGAGUGACGGUAAUGGGUAAAGAAGCACCGGCUAACUACGUG
rnacentral:rRNA from 1 species